GCGCAGCAGUCGCGAAACUUUACAAUGUGCGAAAGCACGAUAAGGGAACUCUGAGUGCCUCCUAAGGAGGCUGUUCAGGUGUCUAAAAGCACCUGGAGUAAGGGCUGGGUAAGACCGGUGCCAGCCGCCGCGGUAACACCGGCAGCCCAGGUGGUAGCCACUUUUAUUGGGUCUAAAGCGUCCGUAGCCGGUUGAGUAAGUUCCUUGGGAAAUUUGGCUGCUCAACAGUCAAGCUUCCAGGGAAUACUGCUCGACUUGGGACUGGGAGAGGUCAGAGGUACUCCAGGGGUAGGGGUGAAAUCCAUUAAUCCCUGGGGGACCACCGGUAGCGAAGGCGUCUGACCAGACCAGGUCCGACGGUGAGGGACGAAGGCUAGGGGCGCGAACCGGAUUAGAUACCCGUGUAGU
rnacentral:rRNA from 1 species